GUUUCAACAAUCCUGUAACUUUAAACCCACAGAAUCCAUGGAGAAAAGUGACAGUGAUGAAGGUCAAGAGUUGACUUCUAGGGUGAUGGACAAAGAACUUGGGAUAGUGACCAUGACUUCUGUUUAUUACUAUAUACGUGCUAAUACACUGUGGUGGAUACUCAGUCCUACUGACCCAAAUGCGGAUGCUCAAGGAGUAAAGUGGUAUUCAGCAUAAGUGCAGAUGGCAGAAUCUCAUUCUGAUGAAUCGACCCUGCAUUUCUCCAGUUCUUGCUGUAGCUGUCUUACAGUAGCAGGAGGUCUGCUCUGAUCUUUCUCUUCUUGUGAAAUCAUUAUC